rnacentral:misc_RNA from 1 species
GUGAUCAUUGACUCCGAGUCAGAUUUACAUCCGUCAUACUUUAGUCAUGUGGUCUUUGUAAUGUCGCAGCUAACCCACCAAUUAUACAUGAUUCUAGCAUAAGAAGAUGUGAUUAAUGAAGGGACAUAACUCUAGCACAGAGGGCCUGUGUUGUUGUGAGUAUGAAAACAACCAAGGAGAUAGGAGCCACAUCUUGGCCUGCUGUUGUGAUUGUGAGGCUCUGGACCAAGCUGCAGAAAGGUGUAUAACUUGUCAGAGUGUUCCCCAAGAGACCAUGGAAAGACUCUUCAAAACCCUAGAGGAUCGCUGCCGAUUACCGGGAAUUCUGGGACAGGGGGCUGUGAAGCUACGACUGGACGUCGUCGUUCCUGUAAUCACCAUUCCGACCUGUCUGUUCCUUGCCACUCUGGGUCCAGUAAUGACUGUUCUUAUGUUAACUAUCAUGCCUGUAUUUCUGUUGUGGUUUUACCGACUGUGGAAGAGGAACACGAAACGAGAAAGAACUCUGUUCUUCUACUCCUGGGGACUGAUGUCGGUAGUGACCAUCUUUGUGGUGUUUGAAUCGUGUGUGGUUGGUUUCCGUGAAAUUCUUCUGUGGGAACACUUGCUGCUUUUAACUGCUAUGUUUCUCAUGUUUUAUAAUUUUGUAAGAACUAAAUUGAAUGUGCCGUACUUAAAGUCCUCGAAGAGGCAGAAAAACUUUGAAAAGCCAAAUCAGUCGGACAGAAGAGUUGUAUACACUGACGAAAAUGUCAAGGUCAGUUUGGAGGAAAUGACAGUGGAGGAUUUGUCAGAGUCUGAUGUCAAAUGGGUCGACUCCAGGCCAAUAUCAGAUGGAAAACUGGUCACAUGGUGCCAUAAUUGUAGCCUGAAAAAACCUCCAAGGUCCGGUCAUUGUAACGUGUGUAAAGCCUGUGUGUCUGUCCGUGAUCAUCAUUGUGUGUGGAUUGAUGCCUGUAUAGGAGCAGACAACCACCGCAGCUUCAUUCUCUCCAUGAUCCUGUUUGUGUUUUGUGGUUACUAUGGAGCCCAUCUCUCCAUGACGACCCUCUGCACUCCUAAGAUGUACCUUGAUUGGUUCCUACUGCCCAAUGACUGCCGAUUUCUCUACAUUGAUUUACAGUAAGUCUUUAAAACAAUCCAAACUGUUAAUUAGCUGUUGAUUAAUGUGAAAUUAAUGCAAAAGCCUAGUGAAUUUUAUAAAUGAUUAAAAUCAUGUCUUUCAGUUAUAAAUGAAUGUAAAACUUUUGAUUUUUAUGAUCCAGCUGUGGGGCCAUAAAAUUUGGUAAGCUCCAUUUGAUUAGAACAAUGUACAUGAUUUUAAUUUUCUCAAUAUGUUCCUUUUGCAAAAGUGAGAUUAGGAUCAAAUGUUAGCUUGUAUUAUUUUUAUGACCCCUGAGCCAGAUGUUUGAUUUGUAACUAUAUACGAGACAGUAUGAUAAUAUUACACUAUUAGAACGUGACACUCAUUUGUUUGAUGGUUUCACACAGGACUUCGGCAAGCUUUGUGGCUUCCUGCUAUGCUUUCCUGGCUGCCACGUGCAUGCUGUUCGGUCUGCUAUUCCAGUUCCUGUUGAUUAGCCAGAACCUGACCUCUCAAGAGUUCCACAUAGCAUCCAAGAGAAACAUGCUCAGACAUGGUCUUUGUGCGACAAAGAAUGUGUAUAACCAAGGCAUUAUUCAUAACUGGUUCAACUUCUGGUUAACUGGCCGGAUGGAUACACGGACUAGUGUCAUAUCUCUCUGAUGUACAUCAUUAGCAGCUUUUUAUUUAUUGGACUUUAUAUCUUUAUUUUGAUACCUUUUUAUCAUAGUAUCCUUAAUAAAUCUCCAAAGUAGUUUCAAUGCAAGUAAUAUUUCAUUUGUACACUGAAUGUAAUUCAAUGUGUUUGGGUGUGAGCCGAAUUUUUAUUAAGUUUGCUAUUUGCACUCUUUAUAUUUUUGUCUAUGUGCUUUCUGACAGUAUGCCGUUUGUCAGUGUUCUAUCUGACUGUAUACUGUCUGACUGUUAGUCAUAUAUGUGCUGUGUGCUGACAGGGUGCUGUCAAUGUGCUAUCCAUGUGUGUGCUCAUUGCUGGCUUUUGCUGUGUCUGUGCAUUGUCUGCUUGUGUCUGUGUGCUGUUUGUCUAUGUACUGACUGUCUGUCUGGUGUCUGUGUGCUCUCUGUGUGUUUGCUGUGUAUGUGUGUUGUCAUUCUGUAUAUAUUGGCUGUCUGUUUGUCAGUGUCUAUACUGAUGUUUUGGUUUUGAUGUGAUUGCCAAUACACAUUACCUUUAUUCCAAUAAUGAAAAGAAUGGAGAUUCUUAUUUUCUCUACAUAUAUUAAGAUAAAUCUGAACCAUCACACACAUGAUUACAUAUAUUGUUAAAAUUUGAACAGUGCUAGUCUUUUGUAAAGUAGGAUGAUAAAAGUUUGUAACUUGCUUGCAGUACUAGACAGUCUUCAAAGACAUUGAUGUAAGUUUUGCAUAAUAUACAUAGGAAGCACAUUACAAAAAAUGACAUGAAAAUACUAGUUUUCAUUUCUUUUGUUGUCAUUCAAAAUGACAUUUCUAAAGCAAAUGUACCUCAUUUUGUUUUUGUAAGAUUGCAUAUCCUGAUACAAUAUUUUAACCAGUUUGGACACACCCUUUGCAUUGGAUUAGUAACAUUGCAUCUAUUUUCAGUGUACCGUAGCAAAGAGCUAGUCAGUGUAUACUGGUAUUUAUGUACAUACACACUAUAUAUGAUUUAUUGAUAUCAUAAGUGGUUGCGGAUUUGCCAUGGCAUUGACUCAUAUUUUUGUGAUUAUUUUUACCAUUUAGCAUUUAUGUAAUAUGUAAAAUACCUUGAAUAAAAACACUAAAG